ACCUGAACCCGAUUGGAACGGAUGCCAAUUUCCUUUAAAUUGGCAGGAGGCAAAGCGGGACUGAAA
rnacentral:ncRNA from 2 species